rnacentral:lncRNA from 1 species
AUGGAAAAAACAAAAAAAAAUAACAAAAAUAUAGAAAAUGAAAAUGAACAGGAAGGAACUAAUGUGACAGAAAUAUUCACCGAAAAUCCAAAGGCUGUUAUAAAAACUAGCAAAAAGAAUAAAUAUAAGAAAGCCAAACAGAAGAAAAAAAACAAAAAAACUUGUAACAAUAAUGCAAACGCACAAAACAAUACAAUUUGUAACAAUAAUACAAACGUACAAAACAAUAUAUGUUAUAACUAUAAUGCAAACGUAAAAAAAUAUACAAAUAAUGGUAAUAAAAGUAAAAAAAAUUAUGAAAAAAAAGUUUUAGAUAAUUGGAAUAAAAAACCUUUAAUAUGUACAUAUUAUUUUUAUAAAGGCAAGUGUAUGCAUAAUGAAAAAUGUUUAUUUUCACAUGAUGUUGAACCUUUAUAUAAGAUAUCUAACUUAUGUAAAUAUUUUGUUAAAGGAGCUUGUUCAAAAGAAAAUUGUGUAUUUUCACAUGAUCCAACAAUAUUUUUUUGUCGAAAUAAUGUUUUAAGUAAUAGCUGUCACAAGCCAGCAUGUAAAUUUAAGCAUGUUAAAAUUAAUAGUACUAUUACAAGUGUCGAAGACUAUAAUAUGGAAGUGGAUAAUAUAUUAACAAAAGAUGACAAAAUAAGAUUUAUAUAUAAUAAUAAACAUUAUUUAACUGAAUAUCUUUUUAAUAAUUAUUUUCCAUACGAUAAACUCAAUGAAGUUGAUGAAAACACAUUUACACGAAAAGAUGAAUACCCUUGGUUUAUUAACGAACUUAUAGAUUUGAUUCGGAUGGAUUUUAAAAUGGAUAAAACUAAUUCAUUUUUUAAUGUUUUGAAUAGGUUUAAGCAAAUGAGAUUGCUUAUUCCUGUGCGUCCAAAUGGAAUUAAUGUAAAUUAUAGUAUUACACUACAGAAUAAUAGUGCAUCAGGUAUAUACAAAAACAAAAAUUUUAACAAUAACAAUACAUUUUAUAAUAAUAAUAAUGAUAAUAAUAAUAAUAAUGAUAAUAAUAAUAAUAAUAAUAAUAAUGAUAAUAAUAAUGAUAAUAAUGAUAAUAAUAAUGAUAAUAAUAAUGAUAAUAAUA